UGGGGAAUAUUGGACAAUGGGCGACAGCCUGAUCCAGCCAUGCCGCGUGUGUGAAGAAGGCCUUAGGGUUGUAAAGCACUUUAAGCAGGAAAGAAAAGCGCCGGGUUAAUACCCCGAGCGUAUUGACGGUACCUGCAGAAUAAGCACCGGCUAACUCCGUGCCAGCAGCCGCGGUAAUACGGAGGGUGCAAGCGUUAAUCGGAAUUACUGGGCGUAAAGCGAGUGCAGGCGGUCGCGUGUGUCGGGUGUGAAAGCCCCGGGCUCAACCUGGGAAUUGCAUCCGAAACUGCGUGACUAGAAUAUGGUAGAGGAAGACGGAAUUCCACGUGUAGCGGUGAAAUGCGUAGAUAUGUGGAGGAACACCAAUGGCGAAGGCAGUCUUCUGGGCCAAUAUUGACGCUGAGGCUCGAAAGCGUGGGUAGCAAACAGG
rnacentral:rRNA from 1 species